ensembl:snRNA U2 U2 spliceosomal RNA
AUCGCUUCUCGGUCUUUUGGCUAAGAUCAAGUGUAGUAUCUUUUACAUAGAGUAGUGUAUAUUUGUUACUUACAUCCUCU